rnacentral:rRNA from 1 species
UACGGGGGGGGCAAGCGUUGUUCGAAAUUACUGGGCGUAAAGGGCUCGUAGGUGGCCAACUAAGUCGGACGUGAAAUCCCUCGGCUUAACCGGGGAACUGCGUCUGAUACUGGAUGGCUUGAGUUCGGGAGAGGGAUGCGGAAUUCCAGGUGUAGCGGUGAAAUGCGUAGAUAUCGUAAGGAAGACCAGUGGCGAAGGCGGGUCUCUGGACAGUUCCUGACGCUGAGGCACGAAGGCCAGGGGAGCAAACGGG